rnacentral:rRNA from 1 species
AUACGGAGGGUGCAAGCGUUAUUCGGAAUCACUGGGCGUAAAGGGUGCGUAGGCGGUUUGGUAAGUCUGAUGUGAAAUCCUAUGGCUCAACCAUAGAACUGCAUUGGAAACUGCUAGACUAGAAUACUGAAGGGGCAGAUGGAAUUAGUGGUGUAGGGGUAAAAUCCGUAGAUAUCACUAGGAAUACCGAAAGCGAAAGCGAUCUGCUGGGAAGUUAUUGACGCUGAGGCACGAAAGCGUGGGGAGCAAACGGGAUUAGAAACCCUAGUAGUCC